rnacentral:rRNA from 1 species
UACGAAGGGGGAGCUAGCGUUGCUCGGAAUCACUGGGCGUAAAGCGCACGUAGGCAGCUUUCUAAGUCAGGGGUGAAAUCCUGGAGCUCAACUCCAGAACUGCCUUUGAUACUGGAGAGCUCGAGUCCGGGAGAGGUGAGUGGAACUGCGAGUGUAGAGGUGAAAUUCGUAGAUAUUCGCAAGAACACCAGUGGCGAAGGCGGCUCACUGGCCCGAUACUGACGCUGAGGCACGAAAGCGUGGGGAGCAACAGGG